rnacentral:pre_miRNA from 1 species
CAUGUACUCCCUCCGUUCCGAAUUACUUGUCUUGGAUUUUGUAAAACCGUUCCGAAUUACUUGUCUUGGAUUUGUUUACAAAAUCCAAGACAAGUAAUUCGGAACGGAGGGAGUAAGAU